GUAGGGAAUAUUGGGCAAUGGUCGGAAGACUGACCCAGCCAUGCCGCGUGCAGGAAGACGGCCCUCUGGGUUGUAAACUGCUUUUAUCUGGGAAGAAAAAGGCCAUGCGUGGCAAAUUGCCGGUACCAGAUGAAUAAGCACCGGCUAACUCCGUGCCAGCAGCCGCGGUAAUACGGAGGGUGCGAGCGUUGUCCGGACUUAUUGGGUUUAAAGGGUGCGUAGGCGGCUGAUUAAGUCAGCGGUGAAAGACUUCGGCUUAACCGGAGCAGUGCCGUUGAUACUGGUUGGCUUGAGUGUCGGAGGGGUACAUGGAAUUGAUGGUGUAGCGGUGAAAUGCAUAGAUACCAUCAGGAACACCGAUAGCGAAGGCAUUGUACUGGCCGACAACUGACGCUGAUGCACGAAAGUGUGGGGAUCGAACAGGAUUAGAAACCCGGGUAGUCC
rnacentral:rRNA from 1 species